AGGUUAAGUAAAGAAAAGCGCACGGUGAAUGCCUUGGCACUGGGAGCCGAUGAAGGACGGAACGAACACCGAAAU
rnacentral:rRNA from 1 species